rnacentral:sRNA from 19 species
UGCGUUCAGCACGCGCUUGUCAAUUUUUAUCAGAACAAGGAUAUGAGGUUAUCAAUGUCCAAGGUGGCAUGGAUGCCGUUGAAUAAGAAAAAUUUCCUUCGAAACCUUUAAAAAAAUGGGAAGGCUUCGAAGGAUUUUUUU